UAUAUACGUAUUUGUUCUUGUGCAUAUGUGUAAGAACAUUCAUGGACAUUCAUGUUUGUGCAAUCAAUAAUUUUUGGAUAAAUGUUCAUUUUGUGAAGCAUUUUGGAGGCAUAUCGAACUGGGAAAGGAUGCAUUGUGGUCAGAGGGAAAACUGAUGUUGAAUUGCUUGAUUCUAGAACAAAGAGAAGUGCAAGUAUCAUAAAGGAGAUCCCUCACCAAACCAACAAAUCAGCCCACAUGUUGAAGAUAGCCGAACUUGUGGAAAAUAAGAGUUUAGAAGGAAUAAGCGAUAUUAGGGAUGAAAGUGAUCGUUCUGGAAUGCGUGUUGUCAUUGAGGUGUGCAA